rnacentral:lncRNA from 1 species
GAUGUUUGAAUUUGAAUGGGCAACUAAUCCAUGCGCCACCCACCUUAUCUUGUGCGCCAUUUAAUCUACAUGAGAAAGAGUUUCUCGUGUAAAUUCUCCAUGCACAAAGAACCCAUGCCUCCUCUCUUCUCUCACCCAGAGUGGAUAAGGAUGGGUUGGUUUGCAUUUGAAUUCAAAUUUGAUUUGAAUUCAAGUGAGCAACCACCUAUCUUU